rnacentral:misc_RNA from 1 species
GGUAAUUUUAUUAGCACCCAAAAAGCACUCAUUUUCUCACUACAUACAUCCUUCUUCCUACGAGGGAUGAAAGAAAGUCACACAACACCUUCCAGUUUACGUAACUAGAAAUCCACGUCUACCGUUCACUAUUAAUUAAAUCUAUGAACGUCUGUCUAUUCCUUUCAAGCACGAUCCUUCUCUUAGACAUUUUUCUCCAUCGAUCAUCCAAGAAUUUAUACACGUAAUUACACACUCUACUAAUUAUACAUGACAUUAUGAAAUACCCAACAAAGUAAUACAUAUUUAUCUCAAUCUUAUAGUAAAUACUAAUCAUGCUAAAAACUUGGAUAAAGCUGUUUUAACCACAUGAUCAGCUAUGAUACGAUCAGUUCUCUCCGUUGGAUGAAAUGCAUCCCAAAAUAUAUAUUUAUUUGCGUCUUUACAUGUGAAAAGAUUGAAUCGAUCACAUGCGUAACCCAUCUCAAAUAGUCCUGUAGCGCAACAUGCUAUCGAUGCAACCUCAAACCCAUAUGAGGAAGGAUUUUUGAUCAUUUGUAGCAUAGGUUCAUAAGGAUUAGAGAGAACAACUUGAAUAUCAGGUAGCUCUUUAUUCAACUCCAUAACCAAUCCAUUCAAUUUUUCAUUGAAAUUCACAGCCACAAGAUUGUAACUUUCCAUACAUUCAUUCCCAUUUCCCAUAUUUCUUGUUCUUUCUAAUGGCAUACAUCCCAUUGGUGGAAGUCCACCAAGUGAUAUCUUUCUUGCUCCAAGAUUGUAUAAAUUUGUGAUGAAAUUCUUGGCAAUACCAACUAAGAAAGUUUGGAAUUGAUCAAUAGUGUAUUGAGAUCUCCUUUGAGGCAUUGUGUAGUAGUUUUCAAGGAAGUCAUUUGUUCCAAGGCUUGUGGCAUAUAAUGCCUCACUUAUGACUUCAUUUGCCUUUGUAUCACCAAGAUAAGCUCUUAGUUUCUUUUGGUAUUCUUUGUAGUACUCCACUUGUUUCCACAAGGGUAUCACACCCAGAACAUCAGCAGUAGCAUUAUCAUAUCCAGUUCCAGCAGAAGCAAAACUAACUCCAA